CAACUAUAUGAUGGUACUGUGAAGAGUCGAUUGUACACUAUGGAUGAUUGUACGCUUCUUUUACUUUGCGAAACGCACUGGAUAGUAAAUUACUUCUGGCACGCAGCCUUGUCAGCUUGCCAAAUUUCAACUGGAGCAAGUUUUUACAGCGAGCUAAUAAGCCCUGAAAAUUAGGAGGUGAUUUCAUCCAGGCCCGUGGUUUCAAAUAUCAUCUACAUCAGCGUUGUCCAAAACAACUUUCUGUGAUGGAAAUGUUCCAUAUCUACGCUAUCUGAUACAGAAUGGAGUAAUUGAAAUGUGUUUAAUUAGCUUAAAUUUAAAUUGCCACAUGUAGCCAUUGACUACCAUAAUAAAUAGUGCAGAUCUCCCAAAUCCGUAGCACAAAGUCCAUCCAUAAUUAUACCUGAACUGUAGGCUUCAGACUCAUGCCAAUAUAUACAACAGCCUACUGAACAUCUCUACCUGGAUAUCUUGUAGGCAUUUCAAAAUUAGUAUGUCCAAAGCCAAGCUCCUGAUAUUCUCCCCACAUACCUAUUCUUACCAUAAUCUUCCCUAUCUGGUUUAAGGCAACUCCUUGUCCCCAAACUCUACAUCUAAUUUUUCAGCAUCCUAUCUGCUCUACAAAGUAAAUCUAGAAUAUGAUAGCAUCUCAUUACUGCUACUGCUAUCACCUUAGUCAAAGCCACCAUUAUCUCUCGCCUGGAUUGGUGCAGUAGCCUCCAACCAGGCUCCCUGCUUUCCCCUGACCCCCUUGAAUCUAUCUAUUCUUAACACAGCAGCCAAUGUUAUUUUGUUGAAAUAUGUCAGACCACGUCACAUCUCUGUUUAAAACUGUAGUGGCUUCUCAUCUCACUCAGACCAAAAGCUAAAAUCUUUUCACUUGUCCACAAGGCCCCAUAUGAUCUGGUCCCUUGCCCCUCCUUUUCCUCUCUAACCUUAUUUGCCGUGCUUUUUCCCUCGUCUGCUGUACCCUAGAAUUCUAGCCUCUUUGCUAUUCCUGCAAUGUGGCAAUGCAGGGCCUUUGCAUUGGCUGUUCUCUCUGCAUGGAAUGCUCAUAAAUUCAUGGCUCAUUCUCUCACCGCCUUCAGAUCUUUCUCAGGUGUCACUCUUUCAAGGAAGCCUUUCCUAUUUAAAAUUGCAAUCUCUAUCCUCAAUACUCCUUAUUCCAUUCUUUUUUUUUUUUUUUUAAUUCUGUAUCACUGGUCAUCAUCUAACAUACUGUAUAGUAUUUAUUAUUUGGCCCUUGUCACCCAUGCACUAAAAUGUAACCUCCAGGAGAGAUGAAAUUUUUUAAUAUUUUGUUCAUUGCUCAAUCUCCAAAGCUAAGCACAUAGUAAAUACCUGUUACAUAGUUGUUGAAUGAAUGAAGAUUUGUAGUUGUACUACUUCUCAGUUUGUAUUUUAAUGUGUUUCUUUAAUCUGUGUUUACCUCACAAAAUACCGUGACUUCUGUGAGAGAGCGCAAGCUAGAAUUUUAUUUGUCUCAGAAUUCCCCUGGACCUUGCACAGUGCUUUGAAACAUUAGCUACUCAAUAUUCACUGACAAGAAACUAUACUAGAUUAUGCAUGCACCUGUUCUACAACUCACUCACUGUGUCUAAUAUGCCAAAACCCCUUCCAAAGGAAACUCAUCUGCCUAAAACUACUUUUUUUUUACCACUUGACUCUGGACACACCCCACCACUGACUGAACCUCAGCUGAGCUCCUGACUCAAGGGCAACCAAUCUAUUGGCUGGUCCAAAACCUAUAAUGUGCCCUGCCAUGAAAAGAUGAACUAAACUAAUCUCAUUCUCUCUCUUUGGACUCUGAACUAAGAAGUAAAAGAAAAGUAGGCUAUCUAGUUGACAAGGAGUGGGUUGUAAUGGUUAAAUUCAUGUGUCAACUUGGCUAGCUUAUGCUGUCCAGUUAUUUGGUCAAGCAAACACUGGCCUGAUUGUUACUGUAAGGGUAUUUCAUGGAUGGAUUUGCAUCUAUAGUUAGUUGA